CCCGAUAUUUUCUUGGUUUAAUUUCUUUAAAUGUGGAAAAAAAAAAGAAAAAAAAAUGGAAAUUAAGUGUAAAUAUAAAUAUAUAUAUUUAUAUAUUAAAUAGUUUUAUUAAAUUAAUUAAAGAAAAGAAAGAAAAGAAAGGACAAAAAGAAGAAAAGGAGAAGAAAAUUUCAUUUUCUCUUUUCUUCUUCUUCUUCUCUUCCCUUCACCGCCAAGUUUGAAGACAUCCAAGUUCCCUUUAUUUUUUUGUUCUUUUUCCUUCUUCAAUUUGCAGAGAACUUCUAAGAGAGAGUUUGGAAGAAGAAGAGAAAUUUUACUAGAAUUUUUAGGUUGAAGAAGAGGAGGAGAACUCAAGCAAAGUGUAUCAAUGGCUGAAUUUUAGUUCAUUCUGCACAUCACUGGUUUUUAAUUCGGUUUGAACUCUUCAAAAAGAAUUAAGAGGGCAGUUGGUUUUCACUCGAAAUCAGGAGGUCUCUGGUUUUUCUUGUAUUUCAGAGUUUAUCGGUGGAGUUAGAAUUUCUAUUUGGAACAAGUUAAAGAGGUCGUGUGCGCGCGAUUCUGGAAGUGGUUCUGUUUUGAGGGUUAUAUGUGUUUAUGCACGGGGAAUCAGAUUUAUAUGUCUUCAGGUAAGUUUUAGAGGAUCUCAAAAUGAAGAUUUUGAUAUAAAGAACACUCAUUUUGGUUAAGUAUUGAGAAAGUUAUAGUUCUUUGAAGUUUAUGUUAGAAAUCUGGAAAUUUUAGAGAAUUGUUGAGAUAGGAUUUUAUUUCUUAAGCUUUGUUUUCGUGAGCGUCAUCUUUGGUGCGACAUGUUAUGUAUAUCUUUAGGAAACCAGAAUGUUUAAGGUUUUAAUACUCGGUUGGGUUGUUGGCAGGCCGAGAAGAAUUAAACCGAGCUUAUAGACCAAGGAUCUAGCCCAAGACU